AUUGAACGCUGGCGGCAGGCCUAACACAUGCAAGUCGAGCGGAUGAAGGGAGCUUGCUCCUGGAUUCAGCGGCGGACGGGUGAGUAAUGCCUAGGAAUCUGCCUGGUAGUGGGGGAUAACGUCCGGAAACGGGCGCUAAUACCGCAUACGUCCUGAGGGAGAAAGUGGGGGAUCUUCGGACCUCACGCUAUCAGAUGAGCCUAGGUCGGAUUAGCUAGUUGGUGGGGUAAAGGCCUACCAAGGCGACGAUCCGUAACUGGUCUGAGAGGAUGAUCAGUCACACUGGAACUGAGACACGGUCCAGACUCCUACGGGAGGCAGCAGUGGGGAAUAUUGGACAAUGGGCGAAAGCCUGAUCCAGCCAUGCCGCGUGUGUGAAGAAGGUCUGCGGAUUGUAAAGCACUUUAAGUUGGGAGGAAGGGCAGUAAGUUAAUACCUUGCUGUUUUGACGUUACCAACAGAAUAAGCACCGGCUAACUUCGU
rnacentral:rRNA from 1 species